rnacentral:lncRNA from 1 species
UGGAGCCAGAGCCCAGAGCCCUGCUGAUGUCCCGGGGCAGAAAUAGCCCGUUUCAUCAUCGGCUCUGGACGACCGCCGCCCGCAUUCCUCGAGUAAGGAGCCGUCCUCUGCUGUGCUUUUGGAGCAGAAUAAUCUGCAGCUAGGGGAAGGCCAGGCUGGGUCUCAGGGUGAGAGUUACAGAAGGAUAUGAAAUAAUCGGGGAAGAGGCAAGCGGGUAUCCUGAUGCAGACCAUCCCCAGCCAGAAACACAGCCGCAGAACUGAGCCCAAGCUCCAGACCAAAAACUGAGCCCAAGCUCAGGGUCUGCAUGGCCCAGAGCUGGCAUCUGUCCGGGGGACUGGCCCAGGCAAAGUGACCACUGUCAUCCAGUCCAGGAGCUGUGAGCUGCAUGGAAAGAAUGUGAAUGAAGACACAACUCUAAAUGUGGAACCAUGGACGCUAUGUGAGCCAGUGUGCUCCCUAGCCGUCCAGAAAAACAAGGCCCACUUGUACAUUCUGCAAGAGCAUAAAUAAAGC